AUCGAAACAUUUGUUGUUUCUUGUCGUGAUUGGUUCAUUUUAGUGCGUGUUAUUUUAUUUCUUUUGUUUUAUUAUGUUAUUAUACGAAGUGUGUUUUUGAUCACAAGUGGGCACUUGGCCCAUUGGAUGAGGGGGUUGAUCCCCCAUGACCCCAAGGUCAAGGGUUCAACCCCCAUCGAAUGCAUUUUGUCCUAUUGUUU
rnacentral:lncRNA from 1 species